UACGUAGGGGGCUAGCGUUGUCCGGAAUCAUUGGGCGUAAAGCGCGUGUAGGCGGUCCGGUAAGUCCGCUGUGAAAGUCGAGGGCUCAACCCUCGAAUGCCGGUGGAUACUGUCGGGCUUGAGUACGGGAGAGGCGAGUGGAAUUCCUGGUGUAGCGGUGAAAUGCGCAGAUAUCAGGAAGAACACCAAUGGCGAAGGCAGCUCUCGUGGGACGGUACUGACGCUGAGACGCGAAAGCGUGGGGAGCGAACAGG
rnacentral:rRNA from 1 species